rnacentral:rRNA from 1 species
GGACGGGCCGCACAGCGGUGGAGCAUGUGGUUAAUUCGAAGCAACGCGAAGAACCUUACCAGGUCUUGACAUCCGAUGCUAUUUCUAGAGAUAGAAGUUACUUCGGUACAUCGGUGACAGGUGGUGCAUGGUUGUCGUCAGCUCGUGUCGUGAGAUGUUGGGUUAAGUCCCGCAACGAGCGCAACCCCUAUUGUUAGUUGCCAUCAUUCAGUUGGGCACUCUAGCGAGACUGCCGGUAAUAAACCGGAGGAAGUGGGGAUGACGUCAAAUCAUCAUGCCCCUUAUGACCUGGGCUACACACGUGCUACAAUGGUUGGUACAACGAGUUGCGAGUCGGUGACGGCGAGCUAAUCUCUUAAAGCCAAUCUCAGUUCGGAUUGUAGGCUGCAACUCGCCUACAUGAAGUCGGAAUCGCUAGUAAUCGCGGAUCGGCACGCCGCGGUGAAUACGUUCCCGGGCCUU